rnacentral:lncRNA from 1 species
AUGGCUGUGCUACUCACAUAUGAGAUCCUGUCAAAUCUGCCAGGGAUGUCUUCACCAAUGGCUAUGGAUUUGGCUUAAUAAAGCUUGAUUUGAAAACAAAAGAGAAGAAUGGAUUGGAAUUUACAAGCUCAGGCUCAGCCAACACUGAGAAUACCAAAGUGACGGGCAGUCUGGAAACCAAGUACAGAUGGACUGAAUAUGGCCUGGCAUUUACAGAGAAAUAGAACACCGACAACACACCAGGCACUGAGGUUACUGUGGAAGAUCAGCUUGCACGUGAACUGAAGCUGACCUUCAAUUCGUCCUUCUCACCUAACACUGGGGGAAAAAAAUGCUAAAAUCAAGACAGGGUACAAGUAGGAGCACAUUAACCUGGGCUGAGACAUGGAUUUUGACAUUGCUGGGCCCUCAUUCCAGGGUGCUCUGGUGCUGGGUUAUGAGGGCUGGCUGGCUAGCUACCAGAUGAAUUUUGAGAAUGCAAAGUCCCGAGUGACCUAGAGCAACAGUGUAGUUGGCUACAAGACUGAUGAAUUCCAGUUUCACACUAAAGUGAAUGAUGGGACAGAGUUUGGCAGCUCCAUUUACUAGAAGGUGAACAAGAAGUUGGAGACUGCUGUCAAUCUCGCCUGGACAGCAGGAAACAGUAACACUAGCUUCGGAAUAGCAGCCAAGUAUCAGAUCGACCCUGACGCCUACUUCUCGGCUAAAAUGAACAACUCCAGCCUGAGAGGUUUAGGAUACAAUCAAACCCUAAAGCCAGGUAUCAAACUGACACUGUCAGCUCUCCUGGAUGGCAAGAACGUCAAUGCUGGUGGCCACAAGCUUGGUUGAGGACUAGAAUUUCAAGCAUAA